rnacentral:rRNA from 1 species
GCUUGGAAGCAGCCAUUCAUUUAAAGAGUGCGUAACAGCUCACUAGUCGAGGAGUUUGGCGUGGAUAAUAAUCGGGCAUUAAGUGUUUUACCGAAGCUAUGGGAUCAGUAAUGAUCGGUAGGGGAGCAUUCCACUCUGCGUCGAAGGUGAAGCGUGAGCUUUGCUGGAGCGUGUGGAAAAGCAAAUGUAGGUAUAAGUAACGAUAAAGGGGGUGAGAAACCCCCUCGCCGAAAGACUAAGGUUUCCUGAUCAACGCUAAUCGGAUCAGGGUUAGUCGGGUCCUAAGGCUCAGCCGAACGGUGAGGCCGAUGGCAGAACAGGUUAAUAUUCCUGUACUACCUUAAGGAGUGACGUGGAGACGGAGGAGUGACAGCGCCGCGGACUGACGGAAUAGUCCGUUGAAGGGUGUAGAUGUUGAUUAUCCCAGGCAAAUCCGGGAUAAGAGUCGAACCUGAUAGUAUACCAAAUUCUUCGGAAUAAGGUAAUAGCGCGUGUAAGCAUACUCCCAAGAAAAUCCGCUAAACUUAAUCUUUAAGGUACCCGUACCGCAAACGGACACACGUAGUCGGGUUGAAUAUACUAAGGCGCUUGAGUGAUUCACGGUUAAGGAACUAGGCAAAUUGACCCUGUAACUUCGGGAUAAAGGGUCCCAACGAGAGUUGGGCGCAGAGAAUAGGUCCAGGCAACUGUUUAACAAAAACACAGGGCUGUGCCAAAUUGAAAGAUUACGUAUACAGCCUGACACCUGCCCGGUGCUGGAAGGUUAAGAGGAGAUGUCAUCGCAAGAGAAGCAUUGAAUUGAAGCCCCAGUAAACGGCGGCCGUAACUAUAACGGUCCUAAGGUAGCGAAAUUCCUUGUCGGGUAAGUUCCGACCUGCACGAAUGGUGUAAUGAUCUGGACACUGUCUCAACCGUGAGCUCGGUGAAAUUGUAGUAUCGGUGAAGAUGCCGAUUACCCGCGAUGGGACGAAAAGACCCCGUGAACCUUUACUAUAGCUUAACAUUGAAUUUGGGUAAUUGAUGUGUAGGAUAGGCCGGAGACUUUGAAGCAGGUACGCCAGUAUUUGUGGAGUCGCUGUUGAAAUACGGCCCUUUGAUUAUUUGAGUUCUAACUCGUAGAUACGAGGACACUGUUUGGUGGGUAGUUUGACUGGGGUGGUCGCCUCCAAAAGUGUAACGGAGGCUUCUAAAGGUGCCCUCAGGACGAUUGGUAACCGUCCGUAGAGUGUAAUGGCAUAAGGGCGCUUGACUGGGAGACAGACAAGUCGAUCAGGUAGGAAACUAGAGCAUAGUGAUCCGGUGUUUCCGUAUGGAAGGGACAUCGCUCAAAGGAUAAAAGGUACUCCGGGGAUAACAGGCUGAUC